UACGAAGGGGGCUAGCGUUGUUCGGAAUUACUGGGCGUAAAGGGCGCGUAGGCGGCCCUCCAAGUCAGGCGUGAAAGCCCCGGGCUCAACCCGGGAAUAGCGCUUGAGACUGGGGGGCUUGAGUUCGGGAGAGGAGAGUGGAAUUCCCAGUGUAGAGGUGAAAUUCGUAGAUAUUGGGAAGAACACCGGUGGCGAAGGCGGCUCUCUGGACCGACACUGACGCUGAGGCGCGAAAGCGUGGGGAGCAAACAGG
rnacentral:rRNA from 1 species